UACGGAGGGUGCGAGCGUUGUCCGGAAUCAUUGGGCGUAAAGGGCGCGUAGGUGGCCCGGUCAGUUCGUGGUGAAAGCGCGGGGCUCAACCCUGCGUCGGCCAUGAAUACUGCCGCGGCUGGAGCACUGUAGAGGCAGGCGGAAUUCCGGGUGUAGCGGUGGAAUGCGUAGAGAUCCGGAAGAACACCGGUGGCGAAGGCGGCCUGCUGGACAGUUGCUGACACUGAGGCGCGACAGCGUGGGGAGCAAACAGG
rnacentral:rRNA from 1 species